rnacentral:rRNA from 1 species
GACGAACGCUGGCGGCGUGCUUAACACAUGCAAGUCGAACGGAAAGGCCCUGCUUUUGUGGGGUGCUCGAGUGGCGAACGGGUGAGUAACACGUGAGUAACCUGCCCUUGACUUUGGGAUAACUUCAGGAAACUGGGGCUAAUACCGGAUAGGAGCUCCUGCUGCAUGGUGGGGGUUGGAAAGUUUCGGCGGUUGGGGAUGGACUCGCGGCUUAUCAGCUUGUUGGUGGGGUAGUGGCUUACCAAGGCUUUGACGGGUAGCCGGCCUGAGAGGGUGACCGGCCACAUUGGGACUGAGAUACGGCCCAGACUCCUACGGGAGGCAGCAGUGGGGAAUAUUGCACAAUGGGCGGAAGCCUGAUGCAGCAACGCCGCGUGCGGGAUGACGGCCUUCGGGUUGUAAACCGCUUUCGCCUGUGACGAAGCGUGAGUGACGGUAAUGGGUAAAGAAGCACCGGCUAACUACGUGCCAGCAGCCGCGGUGGUACGUAGGGUGCGAGCGUUGUCCGGAUUUAUUGGGCGUAAAGGGCUCGUAGGUGGUUGAUCGCGUCGGAAGUGUAAUCUUGGGGCUUAACCCUGAGCGUGCUUUCGAUACGGGUUGACUUGAGGAAGGUAGGGGAGAAUGGAAUUCCUGGUGGAGCGGUGGAAUGCGCAGAUAUCAGGAGGAACACCAGUGGCGAAGGCGGUUCUCUGGGCCUUUCCUGACGCUGAGGAGCGAAAGCGUGGGGAGCGAACAGGCUUAGAUACCCUGGUAGUCCACGCUGUAAACGGUGGGUACUAGGUGUGGGGUCCAUUCCACGGGUUCCGUGCCGUAGCUAACGCUUUAAGUACCCCGCCUGGGGAGUACGGCCGCAAGGCUAAAACUCAAAGGAAUUGACGGGGCCCCGCACAAGCGGCGGAGCAUGCGGAUUAAUUCGAUGCAACGCGUAGAACCUUACCUGGGUUUGACAUGGAUCGGGAGCGCUCAGAGAUGGGUGUGCCUCUUUUGGGGUCGGUUCACAGGUGGUGCAUGGCUGUCGUCAGCUCGUGUCGUGAGAUGUUGGGUUAAGUCCCGCAACGAGCGCAACCCUUGUUCACUGUUGCCAGCACGUUAUGGUGGGGACUCAGUGGAGACCGCCGGGGUUAACUCGGAGGAAGGUGGGGAUGACGUCAAGUCAUCAUGCCCCUUAUGUCCAGGGCUUCACGCAUGCUACAAUGGCUGGUACAGAGAGUGGCGAGCCUGUGAGGGUGAGCGAAUCUCGGAAAGCCGGUCUCAGUUCGGAUUGGGGUCUGCAACUCGACCUCAUGAAGUCGGAGUCGCUAGUAGUCGCAGAUCAGCAACGCUGCGGUGAAUACGUUCCCGGG